GUCCCCCCUCAACCACCAGAAGUCCAAGAUGGUAAUUUGUCGAUAAAAGAUUUCAGACAACAAAUGGAGGAUGAUCGGCCACUCUCAAUUGAACCACUACAAGCCGUACGACCCGCUUAUCCUUCUUCUGUGCUCAAAGCUUUGGAAAAUUUCAGAACUGGCAAGAUGACCGAGCUGUUGCAGGCUGUUCAAGAAAACAUGAGGGAAAACCAAGCAUCUCGAAUCGAACAAUCUGCCAUUGGUUCUGAAGAAACAGAGACAUGAUUCCAACAAGCAGUCAUAAGUUCCGAGUGUCGCAAACGUUGCAGAGUGCUUUUAGUUAAAUCAAAUAGACUGUAAAAUGUUUUCUAUCCUGAAAAAGGUGUAGGAGCUGGACUUCCCUGGAGAGUUAACCUUAAAAGUUACAAUAGGGUGCAUCAGAUUUUUCUUUGACCUUUUAGGAUCAAAGCAGUUUCCAUUAUUUAGAAUAAAGCUUUUCGUUUUUCAGUUUAUA